CGUAUUAUUAAUAAUAUGUUUACGCAUCCAUCAUCUAUUUAUAGAAUCCAUGCCUAGGCUACUAAAAAUCAAUAAGAUAUAAUCAUUGUACUUGUAUCAAAGAGGGGAAUUCUCUAGAUUCGUCGGAAGAACGCGAAAAGAGUAGUUUCUGCUCUUGUGGAAAAGAAAUUAUCUGCGCGGUUCGCCAGUUUUAGGUAUCUGCAAUUUGGUGCAAGUAUAAGUGGUGCAUAUUAUUCUUGCCUUUUUAUAAAGAAUAUUACCACACUUAGCAAUUAAGAGAAUAGAACUGUGAGGAAAAAAUAAAA